GACAUGAGGCAAUGACAGAUUAAACAGCAAUAUUAGGAUCAUUGGUGGAUGUAAAUGGGAAAAUACUGAUUCCAGGUAUCUAUGAUACAAGUAGCACCUGUUACAGAUGAUGAACGAAAGUCGUAUGGGCCAAUAGAUUUUGAUUUAGUAAGUGUAUUGUACUUCAAGUUUUUUAAUAACCCUUGUCUCAAGAAGGGGCCAUAUAUUAUGAUGCACACUUCAUUCUGCUAUCAUUUAUUGUCACAAGUUUAGUUUCCAGAUGAUACUUAAAGUACCACUUGGUCAAAUCUUUGAAAUUUAAACCCUAUAUGUCAUGGAUCAUAAAUUACAAUAGUCAGUUUGAUGUUUAAUGAUUCUGACAUUAUGUUGAUCAAGAAGAUAUGCACUUUACUUGGAUUUGUGUUUUUCUAUAGGAAGAAUACAGAAAAGAUGUUGGUGUGACUAAAUUAAUCCAUGACAACAAACCAGACGCAUUGAUGCACAGAUGGCGAUUCCCUUCAUUGUCCAUUCACGGUA
rnacentral:lncRNA from 1 species